GGGAUUGCCCUAGUAACGGCGAGUGAAGCGGCAACAGCUCAAAUUUGAAAUCUGGCGCAAGCCCGAGUUGUAAUUUGUAGAGGAUGCUUCUGGGUAGCGACCGGUCUAAGUUCCUUGGAACAGGACGUCAUAGAGGGUGAGAAUCCCGUAUGUGACCGGCCCGCACCCUUGACGUAGCUCCUUCGACGAGUCGAGUUGUUUGGGAAUGCAGCUCUAAAUGGGAGGUAAAUUUCUUCUAAAGCUAAAUACCGGCCAGAGACCGAUAGCGCACAAGUAGAGUGAUCGAAAGAUGAAAAGUACUUUGGAAAGAGAGUUAAAAAGCACGUGAAAUUGUUGAAAGGGAAGCGCCUGCAAUCAGACUUCGCGGCAGUGUUCCGCCGGUCUUCUGACCGGUUCAUUCUCUGUCGCGAGGCCAUCAUCGUCUCGGCCCGCUGGAUAAGACCUUGGGAAUGUAGCUCACCUUCGGGGGAGUGUUAUAGCUCAUGGUGAUGCAGCGAGGCUGGGGCGAGGUCCGCGCUUCGGCAAGGAUGAUGGCGUAAUGGUUGUCGGCGGCCCGUCUUGAAACACGGACCAAGGAGUCUAACAUCUAUGCGAGUGUUCGGGUGUCAAACCCCUACGCGUAAUGAAAGUGAACGGAGGUGGGAACCGCAAGGUGCACCAUCGACCGAUCCUGAUGUCCUCGGAUGGAUUUGAGUAAGAGCAUAGCUGUUGGGACCCGAAAGAUGGUGAACUAUGCCUGAAUAGGGUGAAGCCAGAGGAAACUCUGGUGGAGGCUCGCAGCGGUUCUGACGUGCAAAUCGAUCGUCAAAUUUGGGUAUAGGGGCG
rnacentral:rRNA from 1 species